ACAUUUGCUGGUAUCUGCUGUUGGAGGAGAGAGUGAGAGAGUGUGAGAGAGAGAGAGAGAGAGAGAGAGUAAGAAGGGGUGGUGUCACAGAGCAAGGGAAGAGAGAUGGGCUGCAGGCAAGCUUUUCAUGGGUGGCAGGUGGAAUAAUUGUGUGAAAGGGGUGAAAUGGAAAGAAAGCUGGAGAGGGAGAGAGAAGAACGAUGGAGCAGAAAGAAAAAGACAGCUAGAGAUCAAGUUGACUUGUGAGGCAGAUAGCAGAAGCAGCAGCAGCAGCCUCAACUGACAAACAGGGACAACACCGAUAAUAGGCCGUGUUCACCCAAUCAUCUCUCGCCCUGGCUUGUCCCCCUGCAUUCCUGCAAGCGUCUUUGCCAAAAGGGGCCUAGCCAGGCUUCAGAGCGGGCUAAUGCAUCGUAUCAUGGCAAAGCCAGCACGAGACGGCGACUUACAACAGCAUGCCUAAUGAAAAGACUUAUUCUGCUGGCAGGCCAACAAACGGCACCAUGAUUACAAAGGAGGGCGAGGAAAAAUAAACCAGAACAGGCCCGUUGUGCUGUGAGAUGCCACAGCUGACAGCUAGGAAAUGUACAUAUGUGUGUGUGUGUGUUUGUAAAGGCCAAGGAGACACACACACACACAUUCAGGAGUCAGUGAGUGUGAAAUGGCUGCCUGGAUUGCCCUGAGCUCCCCCCAGCUCCAGUGCUCCAGAAGCAGCAGCCCAGCCAGCUGGCUCUCCCUCCUCUCCCCAGCCAAGAAGAGGCCCGUCUGGGCAUCAGUCAGCCCGCAGCCCUGCCGCACACAUCUGGAGCUUAUUGUUCCACCGGGCGGAAUUAUUCCACAUGCAACACUGUCAGGAGCUUUCCUAUUACACACCAGCGGAGCAUGUUCAUUCUCUUUCCGACUGAUGUUUCAGGCCUCAUGUGAAGGCAUCCCUUUGAAGCAUCACCAUUUGUAACUGUCUCUAAAUAAUGGACUACUACCAACGAGUUCUUGCUUUAAGGAAUGGUUUAGUAUUUUGACUUAAAGGAACGACUAAACUAUGUAACUGAUUAAACCUCAUUAAAGUGUACCUUCUUGAUCUUUA